ensembl:lncRNA
AUGUGUAGGUAAUCCUUUCUAACGCGGAAUUUUUUGAAAGAUAUAACUUAGUAGAACUGCAAAAGUGUUGUUCUCCACUUUCUGGAGGACCGAGUUUUGAAAUCAGUGGAAUGCCCAGUGGAAUUAGAGUAUGAUAGCUAAGGAGAUGGAGAAAAUUCUGCCGUUUGAUUGCAAAUAUGCAGAGGGAGUCAAAAAGGGAAGACACAGAAGGCUGUUGUAUAAAACACCUGUCUACGGAUUACUAAAUUCAAAACGUAUAAUAUCUGAAAAUGUCUUCAAACUAAGGGCAACUAUGGCAUCUGUGACAGAGAGGGAGAAGCAUCCUUCCAUGUAUAUGGGAGGACCUGAGCCCUUGGACCAUGACUCAGGACUACUUGGCCUGACAACUCUUGGCUGUUCUCCCUCCCAAGUCCACCUGGUCAUGCUACUGCUCAAUUAUUGCUGAUCUGCCUGCGGCUAUGGAAUCCUGACCCGUUCACUGGACAUGCUCCCUCGCACUUUCUCUCCUUCCCCUUCUCUCUAUACCACACCUGCUGUCUCAACCUCUGAAUGCUCAGUUAUGAAAAGCAAACUGACAUUUACCCCUGAGGUGCUGACCUGUUGCAACCUCUAUAAACACUCUGAUUAUUAUUUGACUCUGUUGGUCAUCUAUGAACGUUUGAGAAUCUUGAAGAACGAUCUGGCCUUAAUGGCCAUGUACUCUUAUAAUCUCCACCUCGCACGGCCAGUAGAGGACUGACCACCCCUCAGAGCCUGAUUCCUCUCUAGGUUUCUUCAUAGGUUCCAGUCUUUAUAAGGAGUUUUUCCUAGCUACCGUGCUUUUACAUCUGCAUUGCUUGCUGUUUGGGGUUUUAGCCUGGGUUUCUGUAUAAGGGUCUAGUCUGCUAUUUAAGAAAUACACUGUGAAGGAUUUGUGACAAGCUACAGGCAGGCAGGAGUGGUCAGCAUUUCAACAGCACAUCAACAACAGCACUUUAACAACAUGCCUAUACAUUUUUCAUUAAGGCUGUUUAAAAUAAUUACUUAGAAUGAAAUAUCAAUGAAAC